UCAUGGCUAAUGUGUCUCGGCUAAUGUGUCUUGGCUAAGGUGUCUUGGCUAAUGUGUCUUGGCUAAGGUGUCUUGGCUAAGGUGUCUUGGCUAAUGUGUCUUGGCUAAGGUGUCUUGGUUAAGGUGUCUUGGCUAAUGUGUCUUGGCUAAGGUGUCUUGGCUAAUGUGUCUUGGCUAAGGUGUCUUGGCUAAUGUGUCUUGGCUAAUGUGUCUUGGGUAAUGUGUCUUGGCUAAUGUGUCUUGGCUAAGGUGUCUUGGCUAAUGUGUCUUGGCUAAGGUGUCUUGGCUAAUGUGUCUUGGCUAAUGUGUCUUGGCUAAUGUGUCUUGGCUAAUGUGUCUUGGCUAAGGUGUCUUGGCUAAUGUGUCUUGGCUAAGGUGUCUUGGCUAAUGUGUCUUGGCUAAUGUGUCUUGGCUAAUGUGUCUUGGCUAAGGCGUCUUGGCUAAGGUGUCUUGGCUAAUGUGUCUUGGCUUAGGUGUCUUGGCUAAGGUGUCUUGGCUAAUGUGUCUUGGCUAAAGUGUCUCGGCUAAUGUGUCUCGGCUAAUGUGUCUUGGCUAAGGUGUCUUGGCUAAGGUGUCUUGGCUAAGGUGUCUUGGCUAAUGUGUCUCGGCUAAUGUGUCUCGGCUAAUGUGUCUUGGCUAAUGUGUCUUGGCUAAGGUGUCUUGGCUAAGGUGUCUUGGCUAAGGUGUCUUGGCUAAUGUGUCUCGGCUAAUGUGUCUUGGUUAAGGUGUCUUGGCUAAGGUGUCUUGGCUAAGGUGUCUUGGCUAAGGUGUCUUGGCUAAGGUGUCUUGGCUAAGGUGUCUUGGCUAAUGUGUCUUGGCUAAGGUGUCUUGGCUAAGGUGUCUUGGCUAAUGUGUCUUGGCUAAGGUGUCUUGGCUAAUGUGUCUUGGCUAAGGUGUCUUGGCUAAUGUGUCUUGGCUUAUUUGUCUUGGCUAAUGUGUCUUGGCUAAUGUGUCUUGGCUAAUGUGUCUUGGCUAAGGUGUCUUGGCUAAUGUGUCUUGGCUAAUGUGUCUUGGCUAAGGUGUCUUCGAUAAUGUGUCUUGGCUAAUGUGUCUUGGCUAAGGUGUCUUGGCUAAUGUGGCUUGGCUAA